AGUACUAUUUGACAUUCCCCAUAGUAGGAUCUCAUUAACUCUUGGAGGUCUAAACUUUAACAAGUGUUUGGUUUUAUAUCCCAGCUAUUGAUCUUCUUUAGAAGUUGUCUACUCUGAGAGACUGUUGAUCUUCUUUAGAGGUUGUCUACUCUGAGAGACUGUUGAUCUCCUUUAGAGGUUGUCUACUCUGAGAUGCUGUUGAUCUCCUUUAGAGGUUGUCUACUCUGAGAGGCUGUUGAUCUCCUUUAGAGGUUGUCUACUCUGAGAGGCUGUUGAUCUCCUUUAGAGGUUGUCUACUCUGAGAGGCUGUUGAUCUCCUUUAGAGGUUGUCUACUCUGAGAGGCUGUUGAUCUCCUUUAGAGGUUGUCUACUCUGAGAGGCUGUUGAUCUCCUUUAGAGGCUGUUGAUCUCCUUUAGAGGUUGUCUACUCUGAGAGGCUGCUGAUCUCCUUUAGAGGUUGUCUACUCUGAGAGACUGUUGAUCUCCUUUAGAGGUUGUCUACUCUGAGAGACUGUUGAUCUCCUUUAGAGGUUGUCUACUCUGAGAGGCUGUUGAUCUCCUUUAGAAGUUGUCUACUCUGAGAGACUGUUGAUCUCCUUUAGAGGUUGUCUACUCUGAGAGACUGUUGAUCUCCUUUAGAGGUUGUCUACUCUGAGAGGCUGUUGAUCUCCUUUAGAGGCUGUUGAUCUCCUUUAGAGGUUGUCUACUCUGAGAGGCUGGUGAUCUCCUUUAGAGGUUGUCUACUCUGAGAGACUGUUGAUCUCCUUUAGAGGUUGUCUACUCUGAGAGACUGUUGAUCUCCUUUAGAGGUUGUCUACUCUGAGAGGCUGUUGAUCUCCUUUAGAAGUUGUCUACUCUGAGAGACUGUUGAUCUCCUUUAGAGGUUGUCUACUCUGAGAGACUGUUGAUCUCCUUUAGAGGUUGUCUACUCUGAGAGGCUGUUGAUCUCCUUUAGAGGUUGUCUACUCUGAGAGGCUGUUGAUCUCCUUUAGAGGCUGUUGAUCUCCUUUAGAUGUUGUCUACUCUGAGAGGCUGUUGAUCUCCUUUAGACGUUGUCUACUCUGAGAGGCUGGUGAUCUCCUUUAGAGGUUGUCUACUCUGAGAGGCUAAUGAUCUCCUUUAGAGGUUGUCUACUCUGAGAGGAUGUUGAUCUCCUUUAGAGGCUGUUGAUCUCCUUUAGAGGUUGUCUACUCUGAGAGGCUGUUGAUCUCCUUUAGAGGUUGUCUACUCUGAGAGGCUGCUGAUCUCCUUUAGAGGUUGUCUAUUCUGAGAGGCUGCUGAUCUCCUUUAGAGAUUGUCUACUCUGAGAGGCUGCUGAUCUCCUUUAGAGGCUCUUGAUCUCCUUUAGAGGUUGUCUACUCUGAGAGGCUGUUGAUCUCCUUUAGAGGUUGUCUACUCUGAGAGGCUGUUGAUCUCCUUUAGAGGUUGUCUACUCUGGGAGGCUGUUGAUCUCCUUUAGAGGUUGUCUACUCUGAGAGGCUGCUGAUCUCCUUUAGAGGUUGUCUACUCUGAGAGGCUGCUGAUCUCCUUUAGAGGCUGUUGAUCUCCUUUAGAGGUUGUCUACUCUGAGAGGCUGUUGAUCUCCUUUAGAGGUUGUCUACUCUGAGAGGCUGGUGAUCUCCUUUAGAGGUUGUCUACUCUGAGAGACUGUUGAUCUCCUUUAGAGGUUGUCUACUCUGAGAGGCUAUUGCUCUCCUUUAGAGGUUGUCUACUCUGAGAGGCUGUUGAUCUCCUUUAGAGGUUGUCUACUCUGAGAGGCUGUUGAUCUCCUUUAGAGGUUGUCUACUCUGGGAGAGACUAAGUCCUGGGUCAGCUAUAUUGAGGACCUACAGAGGAGAGAUGGGACAGUUAAAAUGAGCACUCAGGUUUCAGACAGUAUUCAACAUGAUAUACGGUUCUGUCUAAUCUAUAAGGCUAAGGGCUUUUCACUACAGAGCUGAGCCGAACCAAGCUGUACUGAGAUGGCCCGGUUAUGCAUCCACCAUAGUUGCUGGAACUGUUCUGAAAGGAAAAUGUGAAAAGAACAUAUCGGAGCCAACAGGCCGGCACAAGAGUUUAAAAAGGCGAUUACAGAAUACCUUGGUCUUAUCAAAGCCCAGUUUAGUCAACAGAACUCCUCUGUAAUCUCAUGCUUCUCUCUCAUGUAGAGUAGAAUAACUGGUUGUCUAGAUGCUAUGGUGUGGGUUUCCGGAGGAGCAUGGUACUGUGCGGUGCUUGAUGGGGAAUGUAGGGAGAUGGGAGUUGUAGUUUUAUACCUGUUAUCUGCCCGUCUGUCUAUCCAUGCGUCUGUCUGUCUGCCUGUCUGCUGCUCUGUCCUCCGCUGUCCGGUGCCCAUCCCUCUCUUUCUCUCUCCCCCCCCCUGAGUCUGGCUAACACAGUCUCUCUA